UACGUAGGGGGCAAGCGUUGUCCGGAAUCAUUGGGCGUAAAGCGCGUGUAGGCGGCCCGAUAAGUCCGCUGUGAAAGUCCAGGGCUCAACCCUGGGAUGCCGGUCGAUACUGCCGGACUAGAGUUCGGAAGAGGCGAGUGGAAUUCCCGGUGUAGCGGUGAAAUGCGCAGAUAUCGGGAGGAACACCAAUGGCGAAGGCAGCUCGCUGGGACGUUACUGACGCUGAGACGCGAAAGCGUGGGGAGCGAACAGG
rnacentral:rRNA from 1 species